rnacentral:lncRNA from 1 species
AAAAAAAAAAUAAGAGAAUGAAGAAGACUCCCGCUGGGAGUCUUCUUCCACCCAAAUCACCGGUGGAGAGGUUGAAUCCGAGGCGGAUUCGACCUCCCCUACACCCUAUAAAACCCCCUCUCCUUCCCUCUAAGGUUGGUCACGACGAGCACCGGAUUUUUCUUUUAUUUUUCUCGAAUUUUUUCGUUGAAGCCGCGGAUGUCCUCAUCGUGUUCAUCUCAAAUACUCGCCGGAGACCUCGCCGGAGUCGGAGGUAAACCCGUCUUCUCC